rnacentral:rRNA from 1 species
GAUGAACGCUAGCGGCAGGCCUAACACAUGCAAGUCGAGGGAUAAGCCUUCGGGCUAAGACCGGCGCACGGGUGCGUAACGCGUAUACAAUCUGCCUUUUAUCCGGGGGAUAGCCCGAAGAAAUUUGGAUUACUACCCUAUGGUAUAAGAGCACGGCAUCGUGCACUUAUUAAAGCUACGGCGGUACAAGAUGAGUAUGCGUUCUAUUAGCUAGUUGGAGAGGGAACGGCUCCCCAAGGCGACGAUAGAUAGGGGUUCUGAGAGGGACGUCCCCCACACUGGUACUGAGAUACGGACCAGACUCCUACGAGAGGCAGCAGUGAGGAAGAUUGGACAAUGGUCGGAAGACUGAUCCAGCCAUGCCGCGUGCAGGAUGACGGCCUUAUGGGUUGUAAACUGCUUUUGUAAGGGAAGAAUAAGGAGUACGUGUACUUUGAUGACGGUACCUUACGAAUAAGCAUCGGCUAACUCCGUG